rnacentral:lncRNA from 1 species
UCGAUUUCAGAUGAGGUCACUAUAAAUCUGGGGGGGACAUGUCCCCCCCGUCCCCAGUGCCAUCUGCGCCCAUGGUGACUAGCAUUUUUUUCUAGUCGACUCACAACUUUUUAAUUUAAAAACACAGGGAACUUAUUCCCAAGCUGAUGUAGAAUCAACACGUGCUAAAUCUAAUGAUCAGCUACCAGAAGACCAAACUGUAAAGGAACAGCAUCAAUGCAACAGGAGUUGGCAAUCAGCCAUGUAACAGUGUGAUUCAGUAUGAGAAGAUUACAGAAUCUAAAUCAGUGAUGAGUACAGGAAAGGUUCCAGUAAAAUAUUUCACAGAUGCGCCUAAAACAACCUUUGGUUCUCAUGAAGAGUUCAUAAUACGUAUUCAAAAUGAAGUACCGGGUUUGCAGGAGGUGCUUUCACAGGAUGAGUGUGAUGUAAUUCUGCUGUUUCUACCUAAUGUAUCAUGUGGUGGAAUAAACCCUGAUGCAGCCCGGGAAAAGCUUGAUGCUAUUGCAGUCUCUAAACCUGCUGUUCUAGUAGUGCUUCAUUACUCCAUAGACCCAGAGAAGGUUAUAUUAGAAAGCAGCAAACUAGCAGCAAAGAGACCAAACACACGCACAGUGGACUGUCUCUUCCAUGAAGAUAAAGGAUUACUAAAGUGCUGCAAGAAUGAAGAAGCAGUGAAGACAGUUAAGGAGUGGCUGCAGGAUCUAUAUAAGACAAAGCCCACGGUAUUAUUUUAAUUUCUUCUUUUUUUUUAUGUUUUAAAUUUCUUAACUUGAUGUUUGAAUGUGUUGAUUUUGUUGAAAAAGUCACGUAUAAAAGGAGUUCCAUUGAAAUGUACAUAGAGAAAAUGACUGAAAAACAAAAUAACAACAAAAGGUACUACAGAGAUGUUACAAAAAUGGUUAAAUUAUUUUUUUCAUCUCCAUAUUGAAACAUGGAAAAAUCA